GGCAUCUCCAAGCGGUACGUAAAAUCAACUGCGUAUUGGACACAUUUUUGAUUAUUCGUUGCGUAAAACACGAAGAACACGGUGGUCCUUUAGUACUCCCGUAAUAAGUUCAUUUACAUAAUUAACCGGCUGUUGUAUCGACGAGUGGUGAAAAUAAAGAAGUAGAUGCGUUAAUUAUCGAAACUCCAGUUUCCACCUGCACAUGCACGCGCGAAAUGGCAAGUGAUUCAAAGAAAUCCCGUUAUGUCGUGACAAAUUAUUAGCCCGGUUGUAACACGCGCCGUUCGUUCUAUAAAUUAUUUUAUUCGCAAUAAACGAGAUGACUGAGUCAUGAUUAUCGGCCGUUUUCAGCCAUCGAAUUGCGUAUCCGUCUCUUCACGUGCCGUUUUUACCCUCUUUAUCUUGCUCCUUAUCGCCGCCAUGCUCUCUCUCUCUUCCACUUUCUUCGACUUGUUCUGUUCCGCGCGAAGCCUUUUACUCCGGUGUAUUUCACCUGCUCGAAAUUUAUCACGAACCAGCAACUGAUUUCCGGUUCUCUCGUUCUUCCUUUUCACCGAAAGUGUAAAACACGGAAAUACUUCGAAGCACAACCUCGAGUGAUUCAGAUUCUUCAUACGCAUAAAUGUACACUGCUGUGCUGUCUUCACUGAUGGAAAUGCUUCCAUUGGUGGAAAAUGAUUCAUUUUUGAAAUUGUUCAUACACAGGUAAACACUAACUACUUUGUUACAGUACACUAUACUACUCUUAUAUCGUGUUGCAAAUCUUCGAUAAAUUUCAAUUUACGAUACAUUUUCGAACUGCAAAAGUCACAUCACAGAUCACUGUUUCCUUGUUGACAUACUAAUCACAAAUGAGAUGUCGAAUAUACACAGCAUUUGAUGGAGUUUACAUUACGUGUUCUGAAAUACCGAUUGUACAAAAGGUCAGAGAUUUUGUUAUGCCAUCUAUGAUCUAGGGUGGUGGAUAUAAACACAGCGUUCGAUCCAACCAGUCGUGUUAGUGAAGGUUAAGAGAGUACAUCAAAAGAUUGUUUUUUGUUGCAUCCAAAAUUCAGCCACAUUUGAAAAUCAUUGAAUUUAGAAAAGUAGGUUGUUCACGAUCUACACUCUUUCCUACUCUCCGUAGAAGAUCUAGCGAUGUUUCAGAAAUCAAGAAUAGUUUCUCCAGCCUUCACUUUUUCUAUGGCGUUCGAUGAUUUUUAUUUGAUGAUGGACUUCACGAUGAUGCUUUCUGGAUCGCAACAACAUCGAAGACGACGUUCCUCGCAU